rnacentral:rRNA from 1 species
AGAGUUUGAUUCUGGCUCAGAACGAACGCUGGCAGCGUGGAUUAGGCAUGCAAGUCGAACGGAAAAUCUCGAGAUCAAUUCUUCGGAAAAGUGAUUGAGAUGGAUAGUGGCGAAAGGGUGAGGAACACGUGGGCAAUCUACCUCUUAGUUGGGGACUACCUUGGGAAACUGGGGCUAAUACCGGAUGUGGUAUUCUAUCGCAUGGUAGAUUUAUUAAAGGUGGGGAAUCUUCGGAUCCUGCCGCUAAGAGAGGAGCCCGCGUCCCAUCAGCUUGUUGGUGAGGUAAUGGCUCACCAAGGCUUACGGGUAGCUGGUCUGAGAGGAUGGUCAGCCACACUGGGACUGAGACACUGCCCAGACUCCUACGGGAGGCUGCAGUCGAGAAUCAUUCGCAAUGCACGAAAGUGUGACGAUGCGACGCUGCGUGUAGGAUGACGGCCUUAGGGUUGUAAACUACUGUCAUUUGGGAAAAAUUCUCCGUGUAGUAAUAUUACAUGGAGUUGAUGGUACCAAAAGAGGAAGCCACGGCUAACUCUGUGCCAGCAGCCGCGGUAAUACAGAGGUGGCGAGCGUUGUUCGGAUUUACUGGGCGUAAAGGGUGCGUAGGUGGUUAUGUAUGUCGGAUGUGAAAGCCCAUGGCUCAACCAUGGAAUUGCAUUCGAAACUGCAAAACUUGAGUGUAGGAGAGGAGAGCGGAAUUCUUGGUGUAGCGGUGAAAUGCGUUGAUAUCAAGAAGAACACCGGCGGCGAAGGCGGCUCUCUGGAAUACAACUGACACUGAGGCACGAAAGCUGGGGGAGCGAACAGGAUUAGAUACCCUGGUAGUCCCAGCCGUAAACGGUGCACACUUGGUGUGGGAGGAAUUGACCCCUUCCGUGCCGGAGCUAACGCGUUAAGUGUGCCGCCUGGGGAGUACGGCCGCAAGGCUAAAACUCAAAGAAAUUGACGGGGGCCCGCACAAGCGGAGGAGCAUGUGGCUUAAUUCGAUGCAACGCGAAGAACCUUACCAGGGCUUGACAUAUACCUGCACGCCCCGUGAAAGCGGGGUUUCCUUCGAGGGUGGUAUACAGGUGCUGCAUGGCUGUCGUCAGUUCGUGCCGUGAGGUGUUUGGUUAAGUCCAGUAACGAACGCAACCCUUGUGUUUAGUUGCCACUCUUGGUGUUAAGCUAGGAAGCACUCUAAACAGACUGCCCGUGCAAGCGGGAGGAAGGUGGGGAUGACGUCAAGUCAGUAUGGCCCUUACGCCCUGGGCUGCACACGUGCUACAAUGACAGGUACAAUGGGACGCUAUACCGCGAGGUUGAGCAAAUCCUCAAAAACCUGCCUCAGUUCGGAUUGGAGUCUGCAACUCGACUCCAUGAAGUUGGAUUCGCUAGUAAUGCCGUAUCAGCUACGACGGCGUGAAUACGUUCCCGUGCCUUGUACACACCGCCCGUCACAUCAUGAAAGCCGUCUGCACCCGAAGUCGCUGAGCCAAUCUUUCACGAGAAGGCAGGUGCCGAAGGUGUGGGUGGUGAUUGGGAUGAAGUCGUAACAAGGUA